rnacentral:antisense_RNA from 1 species
AGUGAGCCUGCUCGCGAUAGCGGUGUGUCAGGUACCGAUGCUGCUGAAUGUGCUACCGCUAUCGCGAGCAGGCUCACU